rnacentral:lncRNA from 1 species
CUUUUGAAUCAUUCCUCCCUAUGUGUUCUGGAGGUUUCACUGACACUUAAGCUGGGAGAGCUAAAGGGAACCAGGAGCAGAGUCUGCUCCAAGAAUAUCCCAUGGGGUGGGAAGUACAGACUUACAAGCUCUCUGAAAAGCAGUUUGAGGAGAGAUUCCUGACUCUAUUAGGCAGCCCCGGAAGCAUCUGGAAGCUGAGCAGUGAAGCUGAGAUUCGAGGAAAUGAAUGGAUUUGCCCACAUUGCACUGGAAGAGGAAGGAAGCCUGGGGCUCCCUCUUUUUACUUAAGAACCCUCAGGACAACAGCUGUGCUUCUCCUCAGUGGGAUGUGUGUUCACAACACAUGGAGAAGAUGCCACACCAAGGAGCCAAAUGCAUUGGACGACACAAAUCAGCCUUCAAAUCAAUACAUCCAAAGUCAUCUGCUGGUAAGUUUAACAGCAUUCACAGAACUGUCAGAAAUCAGCAUGUUUUUCUGUGGGGAAACCUAUGAAACAGAAGGUAUUUUAAGACAUUGUCAUCCCAAGAGCUUGCUAGUGAUUUGGAAGAAACUGAAUUGGCUUGGGAAUCUAAAAUAAGCACCCUAAUGAGGUUAUGCAAAAUAUACAGUUUGGGGGCUGGGGAGAUGGCU